ACGGCGAGUGAAGAGGGAAGAGCCCAAGAUUGAAAGCUGGCGUCUUCGGCGUCCGCAUUGUAAUCUCAAGAAGUGUUUUCCGCUUCGGACCAUGCCUAAGUCCCUUGGAAAAGGGCAUCAUAGAGGGUGAUAAUCCCGUACAUGGCAUGGAGCGCCCGAAGCUUUGUGAUACGCUUUCUACGAGUCGAGUUGUUUGGGAAUGCAGCUCAAAAUGGGUGGUAAAUGCCAUCUAAGGCUAAAUAUUGGGGAGAGACCGAUAGCGAACAAGUACAGUGAUGGAAAGAUGAAAAGAACUUUGAAAAGAGAGUUAAACAGUACGUGAAAUUGCCAAAAGGGAAGGGUAGGAGGUCAGAGAUGCGUCUUGGGAUUCAGCCUUGCUUUUGCAUGGUGUUUUUCCCAAGUUGCAGGCCAACGUCGGUUUUGGGCACUGGAGAAGGGUAGGAGGAACGUGGCACCUCUCGGGGUGUGUUAUAGCCUCCUACUGGAUACAGCGACCGAGACCGAGGAACGCAGCGUACUCGUAAGAGCGGGCCUUUUGGCACCUUUACGCUUAGGGCGUUGGCAUAAUGGCCCUCUACCACCCGUCUUGA
rnacentral:rRNA from 1 species